AGAAAGUCACGGCUAACUACGUGCCAGCAGCCGCGGUAAUACGUAGGUGGCAAGCGUUAUCCGGAUUUAUUGGGCGUAAAGAGAGUGCAGGCGGUUUUCUAAGUCUGAUGUGAAAGCCUUCGGCUUAACCGGAGAAGUGCAUCGGAAACUGGAUAACUUGAGUGCAGAAGAGGGUAGUGGAACUCCAUGUGUAGCGGUGGAAUGCGUAGAUAUAUGGAAGAACACCAGUGGCGAAGGCGGCUACCUGGUCUGCAACUGACGCUGAGACUCGAAAGCAUGGGUAGCGAACAGGAUUAGAUACCCUGGUAG
rnacentral:rRNA from 1 species